GGAGGAGAAUUAUUUAUUGUCAGUUGUGUUGCUGUUGUUCCAAUGGCCCAGGAAUAGUGGGAUCUGUUUGAUGAGAAGAGCAAGAUGUCAAUGGCUUGGACAAUUAAAUCGGAACACUGUUAUUGAAGCUAGCUGAUCUGUUGGACUUGAGAAGCUGUGUUGUGGCUUGGAAAUGCAAAUUGAGACUUCAUGGGUAUGUACAAUACCUUGCAUUGGAUACCUGGAAGAUCCAUCUUGAGGAAAGUUGUAUACAAGGAAGAGCCCAGUUGUGUUCCUGUCUCUGGGACACUGAAACCCAGCUAGAUGCUGCUGCACAGUAAGGAGAGAUCUCUCCACUGAAAUCCCAGGAAAAAGAGCCCUGCUAACUGCAUGGGAAGAAGGUAGACUGGUAAUUGAAGGUCUACAACAGGAAUGGGACAUCCUCAACACUGCAUCUGUAAUGUGGCUUGUAUGGUGAUCCUCUGGCAUGUCUGUGCAAUAAAGUUAAGGUGUCAUUUGAAGUUCUUUGUAUACAGCCAUUAACACCUUUUGAGCUGUCCUCUGUGGUACCACUUAUUAAUGCCACAGAUCAAUAAUCUGAUGCUUUAUUAAUGUGAAGAUCAUGGGGAGAACAGCAACUGAUAAUAACAGUACUUGCAGGGGUAGUGUUUCCUAGGCAACAAUGUUACCUGCAGGAAGAGUGCUAUAUGUUAACAUGUAUAAUGAGGGAAACCUGGGGAUAGGUACUGUAUAGGUCUGAAUAGAGAUGAAUCAUGCCUUGCAAUAACCAAGUAGCUUCAGUUGUGGUUGUUCAAUUAAAUAGCCUAAGCCUUGCAAUUGUAGAAGAACAUGAGUAUCAACAGGACCAAGGGAUCACAGGCAUAUCAAUGCUGCAACAGCACAGCAGCCACAGUGCCAGGCACGCAGGGAACGGGGUUUCCCGGCUGUUUGCUUUCUGCAGCUGCUACAGGCCUGUUUUCUUCAGAACCUAUCCAGCAACCUUCAACCCUUUGAAGAUUCCCUUUCUCCAGAAUGCUGGGCAAGAGCAGGGAUCUCCACAUGUCAUCCUGAAACAUGCCAAUUAAGUCCUCCUCUAUUUAACUAGGAGCACUAGGGGAAGUUAUUAUGCUGCUCUGUAACUUGACCACCUCUGAAGAGGUGCCCCUUACCUUGGAGGGUCUUCUGGU